rnacentral:rRNA from 1 species
UAUAGAGGGUGCGAACGUUGCUCGGAAUUAUUGGGCGUAAAGCGCGUGUAGGCGGCUUGUUAAGUUAGUCGUGAAAGCCCACGGCUCAACCGUGGAAGUGCAACUAAUACUGGCAAGCUUGAGUGCUGAAGAGGAUGGCGGAAUUCCCAGUGUAGAGGUGAAAUUCGUAGAUAUUGGGAGGAACAUCGGUGGCGAAGGCGGCCAUCUGGGAAGUAACUGACGCUGAGACGCGAAAGCGUGGGUAGCAAACAGG